GCAGCCGCCACGGUAAUACAGAGGGUGCGAGCGUUAAUCGGAUUUACUGGGCGUAAAGCGUGCGUAGGCGGCUUCUUAAGUCGGAUGUGAAAUCCCUGAGCUUAACUUAGGAAUUGCAUUCGAUACUGGGAAGCUAGAGUAUGGGAGAGGAUGGUAGAAUUCCAGGUGUAGCGGUGAAAUGCGUAGAGAUCUGGAGGAAUACCGAUGGCGAAGGCAGCCAUCUGGCCUAAUACUGACGCUGAGGUACGAAAGCAUGGGGAGCAAACAGGAUUAGAUACCCCCGUAGUCCCUGUCUCUUAUAC
rnacentral:rRNA from 1 species